GACAGCAGCAGCCGCGGUAAUACAGAGGGUGCGAGCGUUAAUCGGAUUUACUGGGCGUAAAGCGUGCGUAGGCGGCUUCUUAAGUCGGAUGUGAAAUCCCUGAGCUUAACUUAGGAAUUGCAUUCGAUACUGGGAAGCUAGAGUAUGGGAGAGGAUGGUAGAAUUCCAGGUGUAGCGGUGAAAUGCGUAGAGAUCUGGAGGAAUACCGAUGGCGAAGGCAGCCAUCUGGCCUAAUACUGACGCUGAGGUACGAAAGCAUGGGGAGCAAACAGGAUUAGAUCCCCGGUAGUCCCUGUCUCUUAUACA
rnacentral:rRNA from 1 species